AGAUGAGACGAGCCUGCGACCUGCCUACUCUUGCUGCUAUGCUGCUGCCGCUGCUGUUGCAUCCAUAGAAAUUGGCUGUUACAGAUUUACUGACCAGAUAAAGGAAGUUCCCGCUGAUGCAGACCCAGAUGUUGGGUACCCAGCCACCUAUGCACGUUGACACAGCCAGCAGCGGGCACCUAUUGGGAUGGACCCAGCAGGAUGACCCAAUAGGAUGAAAGUUCAGCCCACUCACUGUUGACACCAGUGACACACAGAUUGACCAGAUCUCAUGGAAGUACCCCCUGAAUCAGACCCAGUCGUUGGGUAGCCACCCUUGCACGUUGACACAGCCAGCAGCGAGCACCCAGGGCGAUGGACGCAGGAGUGGAGGAUUGCCCAAUAGGAUGCAAAUUCAGCCCACUCACUGUUGACACCAAUGAGGGAACAAGAAAGGCUAGGCAACCCCAUCUUUUGACAACGGUCUCCACCGGUCUAUUUCUAAAAAUGUCAACAAUA